UACGAAGGGGGCUAGCGUUGCUCGGAAUCACUGGGCGUAAAGCGCACGUAGGCGGAUCUUUAAGUCAGGGGUGAAAUCCUGGAGCUCAACUCCAGAACUGCCUUUGAUACUGAGGAUCUCGAGUCCGGGAGAGGUGAGUGGAACUGCGAGUGUAGAGGUGAAAUUCGUAGAUAUUCGCAAGAACACCAGUGGCGAAGGCGGCUCACUGGCCCGGUACUGACGCUGAGGUGCGAAAGCGUGGGGAGCAACAGG
rnacentral:rRNA from 1 species